CGGAGUCUUCGAGGGCAGGGUGAAAUUCCCGAUUGGCGGUAAAGUCCGCGAGCAGAGAUGCAGAUUUGGUGCGAUUCCAAAACCAACAGUUAAAGUCUGGAUGAAAGAAGAUGCGU
rfam:Lachnoclostridium sp. An14 An14_contig_18, whole genome shotgun sequence.